rnacentral:rRNA from 1 species
UACGUAGGGUGCGAGCGUUAAUCGGAAUUACUGGGCGUAAAGCGUGCGUAGACGGUUGCGUAAGUCGGGUGUGAAAGCCCCGGGCUCAACCUGGGAAUUGCAUUCGAGACUGCGUAGCUAGGGUGCGGAAGAGGGAAGCGGAAUUUCCGGUGUAGCGGUGAAAUGCGUAGACAUCGGAAGGAACACCAGUGGCGAAAGCGGCUUCCUGGUCCAGCACCGACGUUCAGGCACGAAAGCGUGGGGAGCAAACAGG